AGAGCUUGGACGGCGGCAUGGAGCAACCCACCAUGUCUCAGCUCUUCUAAUCGAUCCAGAGAAUUAAAGGGUUGUCAGUUUACAGCCGAGGGA